UACGUAGGGUGCGAGCGUUGUCCGGAAUCAUUGGGCGUAAAGAGCGCGUAGGCGGUCCGGUAAGUCGGUUGUGAAAACUGGGGGCUCAACCCUCAGAGGCCGACCGAUACUGUCGGGCUAGAGUCCGGAAGAGGCGAGUGGAAUUCCUGGUGUAGCGGUGAAAUGCGCAGAUAUCAGGAGGAACACCAAUGGCGAAGGCAGCUCGCUGGGACGGUACUGACGCUGAGGCGCGAAAGCGUGGGGAGCAAACAGG
rnacentral:rRNA from 1 species